UACAAACUUUCCCUUUGGUUUUAUUAUCAUCAAAUCUUAGAGGAAUAUCCAUAUACACUUCCUCUUCUAAGUCUCUAUACAAAAAAGUGUUUUUUACAUCAAAUUAUUGUAAGUCCCACUUAAGAUUUGUUGCACAUGACAACAAGAUUCUGAUGGUAUUCAUUUUUGCAAUAGGGGCUAAAGUCUUCUAAUAAUCCACUCCAUAUGUCUGAGUGAAGCUUUUAGUCACUAACUUGGCCUUAUACAUUUCAAUGGAACCAUUUGCAUUAUAUUUAAUUAUGAACACCCACUUGCAUCCUAUUGGUUUCUUCCCCGAUGGAAGAGAAACAAGAUCCCAUGUCUCAUUUUUUGCCAAUGCUCCCAUCUCCUCUACCAUAGUUGCCUUCCAUUUUGGA
rnacentral:misc_RNA from 1 species